rnacentral:rRNA from 1 species
GUGGGGAAUAUUGGACAAUGGGCGCAAGCCUGAUCCAGCCAUGCCGCGUGAGUGAUGAAGGCCUUAGGGUUGUAAAGCUCUUUUGUCCGGGAAGAUAAUGACUGUACCGGAAGAAUAAGCCCCGGCUAACUUCGUGCCAGCAGCCGCGGUAAUACGAAGGGGGCUAGCGUUGUUCGGAAUCACUGGGCGUAAAGCGCACGUAGGCGGACCAUUAAGUCAGGGGUGAAAGCCUGGAGCUCAACUCCAGAACUGCCUUUGAUACUGAUGGUCUCGAGUUCGGAAGAGGUUGGUGGAACUGCGAGUGUAGAGGUGAAAUUCAUAGAUAUUCGGAGGAACACCAGUGGCGAAGGCGGCUUACUGGUCCAUUACUGACGCUGAGGUGCGAAAGCGUGGGGAGCAAACAGGAUUAGAUACCCCGGUAGUCC